rnacentral:rRNA from 1 species
GACAGAGGUGCCGAGCGUUAGGCGGAAUCACUGGGCUUAAAGCGUGUGUAGGCGGAUCGUUAAGUGCCUUGUGAAAUCCCACGGCUCAACCGUGGAACUGCUUGGCAUACUGGCGGUCUUGAGCCACUUAGGGGCUACCGGAACAAAUGGUGGAGCGGUGAAAUGCGUAGAUAUCAUUUGGAACGCCAAUGGUGAAAACAGGUAGCUGGGAGUGUGCUGACGCUGAGACACGAAAGCCAGGGGAGCAAACGGG